AGGGAAUCUUCCACAAUGGACGCAAGUCUGAUGGAGCAACGCCGCGUGAGUGAAGAAGGUUUUCGGACCGUAAAGCUCUGUUGUUGGUGAAGAAGGAUAGAGGUAGUAACUGGCCUUUAUUUGACGGUAAUCAACCAGAAAGUCACGGCUAACUACGUGCCAGCAGCCGCGGUAAUACGUAGGUGGCAAGCGUUGUCCGGAUUUAUUGGGCGUAAAGCGAGCGCAGGCGGAAGAAUAAGUCUGAUGUGAAAGCCCUCGGCUUAACCGAGGAAUUGCAUCGGAAACUGUUUUCUUGAGUGCAGAAGAGGAGAGUAGAACUCCAUGUGUAGCGGUGGAAUGCGUAGAUAUAUGGAAGAAUACCAGUGGCGAAGGCGGCUCUCUGGUCUGCAAACUGACGCUGAGGCUCGAAAGCAUGGGUAGCGAACAGGAUUAGAUACCCUGGUAGUCCAUGCCGUAAAACGAUGAGUGCUAAGUGUUGGGAGGCUUCCGCCUCUCAGUGCUGCAGCUAACGCAUUAAGCACUCCGCCUGGGGAGUACGACCGCAAGGUUGAAAC
rnacentral:rRNA from 1 species